UCAGGCAUAUGUCUUCAUUUGAGGAUAAAGCCAUAAGAAAAAGAAGGAAGGGAAUUCAGUUUUUUUAGCAUGCCACAUAAUCUAUUUGGGGAAUAUCGGAGCAGUUAUUGUCACGUGUAAUUAAACUGAAGAUGGCUGAGGAUGAACCAGUUGCACCUGUCCCAGAGGGAGGAGAACCUUCAAAGAAGGCUUUGAAGAAACAACUGAAAGAAGCUGAGAAGACUGCAAAAAAAGCUGAACGUAAAGCACAAAAUGAAUCUCAGCAAACAAGUAAUGAUGUUGGACUGGACAUUUCAUUGGAAAGAUAUGGGCAGUUUGAUAUGAUUCAGAGUAAGGAGCAACAUGAGGAGAGAAAAUUUAUGCACGUUAAAGAUUUGAAUCCAACUGUAGCUGAUCAAACCAUGUGGUUUCGAGGUCGCGUGCACACGAGCAGAGCUAAAGGGAAACAAUGCUUCAUUGUGCUGAGACAGCAGUCUUACACAGUUCAAGUUCUUAUUGCUGUAAAUGAAAAGAUAAGCAAGCAAAUGGUUAAGUUUUGUUCAAACAUAACCAAAGAAUCCAUUAUAGAUGUGGAGGCAAUAAUAAAGACUGUUCCAAAAAAAAUCGAGUCCUGCUCGCAAAAGGAUAUAGAAUUACACGUAGAACAAAUAUUUGUAGUUAGUGCAGCUAAGUCACAACUACCACUUCAAAUAGAAGAUGCUUCAAGACCUGUUACAGAAUCUGAUGAGAAUAGUUUAAAUAUUCGUGUCAAUCAAGACACCAGAUUAGAUAACAGGGUCCUCGAUUUGCGUACUCCAGCCAAUCAAGCUAUUUUUCGUGUAGAAGCUGGGGUUUGUAAACUCUUCCGUGAUAUUCUCACAAAGAAAGGAUUUGUGGAAAUUCACACACCGAAGAUUAUCUCUGCAGCUAGUGAAGGUGGUGCUAAUGUUUUUACUGUUUCCUACUUCAAAGGAUUUGCAUACUUGGCCCAGUCCCCACAGUUAUACAAGCAAAUGGCCAUAGCUGCAGAUUUCGAUAAAGUUUUCACCGUUGGUGCAGUGUUUAGGGCGGAGGAUUCCAACACGCACAGGCACUUAACGGAAUUUGUAGGACUUGACUUGGAAAUGGCAUUUAAGUAUCACUACCAUGAAGUCGUCGAUACUAUUGGACAAAUGUUCACUGAAUUGUUCAGAGGAUUGCGCGACAAUUAUGCUGAUGAGAUAGUUGCUGUUAAUCAACAAUACGCGGUGGAACCAUUUAAGUUUCUGGAUCCUCCAUUAAAAUUGGAAUUUCCACAGGCUAUAGAAUUAUUAGCUGAAUCAGGAGUCAUUAUCGGAUCCGAGGAUGAUUUAUCAACGCCUGACGAGAAGCUUUUAGGAAAACUCGUAAGAGCAAAGUAUGGAACGGACUUCUACAUAUUGGAUAAGUAUCCUCUGGCUGUAAGACCUUUUUACACGAUGCCCGAUCCUAAUAAUCCUAAAGCAUCGAAUUCUUACGACAUGUUUAUGCGCGGUGAGGAAAUUAUAUCUGGUGCUCAACGUAUCCAUGAUCCGGAUUUUCUAACUGAAAGGGCUAAAUAUCACGGAAUUGACCUUGAUAAAAUAAAAGCCUAUAUAGAUGCGUUCAGAUAUGGUUGUCCACCACAUGCCGGUGGCGGAAUAGGAAUGGAGCGGGUGGUUAUGUUGUAUCUUGGACUAGACAACAUAAGGAAAGUUUCGAUGUUUCCACGUGAUCCCAAACGCUUAACUCCUUAAUACAGCCUGUUUUGUAAUCUGACUCAUGCUUCUGCGAAGCUCAAUAUUUAGAAGACCCAAAGAGAGGAGUGUUUACGACUAACCGCACGUGGGAACAUUGUCGAACUCUUCAUCAAAAAUUAAAAAACACGUGUUUAAGGGUUUGUACUUUUUUAGGUCUAAAUUUCGAGAUAAUUAGGAUUAAAGUUUGAGAAUAUCAGCCGAUCAGCGCUACGCUGGGCGAGCUUACCACUAGAAUAACACGCCUCAUUUCCCACCACUCGCCAUCCUAGUCCAUUCUCGAAUUUAUUUUAAUCAAUUCUUUAUGAAAUUAGGUAUUUAAUAAUUAGUGAGACAUAUCUCCAUACAAAUGAAACGAUUGCUUAACAGCAAAAACGGCU